rnacentral:rRNA from 1 species
CAGACGAGCGGCUGCUACGGUAUGUACUGUCCGGCUGGGUCUUACCUCUUGGUGAGCCGGCAUGCCCUUCACUGGGUGUGUCGGGGAACCAGGACUUUUACCUUGAGAAAAUUAGAGUGUUCAAAGCAGGCCUAUGCCCGAAUACAUUAGCAUGGAAUAAUAAAAUAGGACGUGCGGUUCUAUUUUGUUGGUUUCUAGAGUCGCCGUAAUGAUUAAUAGGGAUAGUUGGGACGA